AUUGCCUCUACUGGUGUUUUGUAGUGAGUGCAGCAUAAGGUGGGAGCUUAUGACAGAAACACUUAACAGAAAAAGUGCUAAAAUCUCCUUAGCUGUAUCCAAGCAAGAUCCUGCACUCUAUUGCAAACUGCCAAGGUUGUUGUUUCAGCUAACAUUGGUGGAAGAUCUGAAUUGAAGUACUGUGAGGCAGACAGCUGCUCAUCAUUUGUCCUCUUGCAAAGAAGAUGCAAGAAAUGUGGUAUGUACUGAGGAAAUAUGAGAAUGUAAGAAUUUGAAUAAAAAAGAAUGCACAGAAAUGUUGGCAGUAUAGUUUGCCCAUGGUGGACUUGACCU